CAUAUUGUGACCUGCACUUUCUCACUCUACUCUCAUUGCAAGUUUGAUAUUUCUAUCGCCCCCUCUCGUCACUCUACUCCCGUCAUUACCACUGUGAUCUCUCUCUCGCCACCUUCAGACUCCCUCUCCACUGCGAACCCUAACCUUUAAUGCUUGUCACUAAUCUUGGGCUGCCUCUCUUGCACGAUCCAGCAAAAUUAAUUACUAAUGUGGGAAAGAGCUUCACAGAUUUCAUUGAGUAAAGAGAGAGGGAGGGAAGCAUGGCCUUUGUUUGUUGAUGAUGCUCAAGAAGAGCGCUGGGGAACUUUGCCGAGAGAUGUUCUAAUCAAUAUAUUUGAAAAAUUAGAAUGGAAUGUGAGGCUUUUUAUUGUUCCAUUUGUAUGUCGCUGGUGGCAUGAAGCUCUGUGAGAUCUCUUGUGCUGGAAGCAUCUUGAUCUUCACAAGUGGCCGCUCAUCGGUUGGAAAAUAGAACAUGAUGGAUCCAUCCAUUCAUUGCACGAUUAACAGAUUUGAGAGGCUUUUGGAAAGACUGCUAUGGCUUGCAAAGGGUCAAAUCACCUCAAUUUCCUUCUUCCAAUUCUUCACUAAUGAUACCCAUAUCCUUCACAUUGUUAGUAGGUGCUAGGACCUUGAAUUCAUGUCCAUAGGAAGCAACAUUGAAACAUUAAGCGACUUGUGCCGAGCUCUUUGCAAGUUGGGGUCUCUCAGGACUCUGCACUUGUCUCAUUCAUACAGUUUUUAUCCAAAUGAAUACCCAAACGAAGACAUGGAAAUCAAAGAUAUUUUUUACCAAGUGGGGGGUUGCUGCUAGAGUCUUAAGGUGGACCAUAGGAUACUACUUCAAUUGGCCUCUCGUAUCAAAAAUUUCCAGUAUGACUCCUAUCUUUCAGGCUUUUGAAUAAUGCAUGCAUUGACUUCAGCAGUUGAUGUUCUCUUCUUCUGUUGGCUCAUUAUAUAUUGUAUUGAGAAGUACCUUAGUUUUGGAAUGAGGAAUAUAGGCACUAGUGAUUGAAAAGUUGACACUAAUCCGGAUCGGGAGUCAUUGAGGAUUGUGCCAAAUCCUGGUCGGAAUCGGUGAUCCGUUCAAUAUAUAAUAUAUUGUCAUGAGAAAAUUUUUGAAUGGCUUUGGUGGUUAGGCAUUGUGCCCACUUGGCUUGGAGGUU